UACAGAGGGUGCGAGCGUUAAUCGGAAUUACUGGGCGUAAAGCGCGCGUAGGCGGCUUUGCAAGUCGGGUGUGAAAUCCCCAGGCUUAACCUGGGAACUGCAUUCGAGACUGCAUCGCUAGAAUCCGGGAGAGGUGAGUGGAAUUCCGAGUGUAGAGGUGAAAUUCGUAGAUAUUCGGAAGAACACCAGUGGCGAAGGCGGCUCACUGGACCGGUAUUGACGCUGAGGUGCGAAAGCGUGGGGAGCAAACAGG
rnacentral:rRNA from 1 species